ensembl:lncRNA
CUCUUUUUGUCCCUGCUGCCUGUGAACCUGAAGCAUCCACUCCAGGUGGAUGCCAAGAAGUGAACAUCUCACCUGUGCAGAAAGGCUAUGGCUGGAGUCACCUGCGCUCUGUGUGCUGCACAAAGGAAACAGAUCAAACAGAGGCAAACAAUUGCCAUCUGCAGUCUAGAAAAUCUGAUCCGUAACAAAAGACGAAUAUGCAUGAAAAGAUUGAGGAAGUUACUGUAUGGGGACUGUUGAGUCACGGUCUGAAUUGAUGGAGCACCUGGGGAAAGGACCCGGUCAGCCCUGGGAGCACAGGUGAAGGCAAUUCAGCUGUGUGAGCAGAAGGGCUGCAGCCCGGCUGCACCUCUCUUAGACCUCAUUUAAGGGCUGACUGCCACUGGGGAAGGAUUUCUGGUUGGAGAUCCCUCCUGUGUGGAGUUUUCCCUGUGAGCCUGGAUUUCAGAGAUGGGUGAGUCCUUUCUUCUUGUAAUACCUUUCUAUUGCUCUGGUUCCCUUGUCAUUCCAUCUCCUGUAUCACCAUUCCAUUGUGUUGAUUGUUCUGAUUGUUACAGUUGCAUACUGGAUACUCAGAACAGCUGCAAUGCCAAGGGAAGUCUGUCUCUGUAUUUAUGCUAGCUCCAACAGGAACUGGCUGUAGUGACUUUAGGAUGUCGUUGGUGAGGCAUUAGGCAAUCCUUUCUAUAGGAGGUAAAGUUAUAGAGAAGGCUUUCUGCAGGCUGGAGGACCUACUGCUGAGCAGCCUCCAACAACAGGUUACCAGAUACCUGCCAGGGGCAGCAGAGGCGUAAGAGAUCCUGCCUUGAGACAAAGGGAUGGAUUAUGUAAUCACUUCAGUCCUCAAAUCCUAACUCUGUGCCUAACAGAUUAAACAAUGCAAAUUUUAGGCAAAUACAUAUAUCUAAUAUGUCAAUUUCUCUUCACCCCUGAGGCUUUUGCAGCCUGCCAGAGCUCUUCAUCCAGCAACAGCCUCCUUUCUUUUCUUCUCAUAAAAAAAAAAAAAGUAAAUAUGACCUUUCUUCUUCCUCUUUAAAAUUCUCCAGCUGUCCUCCUCCUAAGAGAAUUUGGCUUUUUUAAUACAGUUCACAUCUAAAUUGCAGUCCGGAGCCCUGUAAUUAGUUGCAGCAAUUCUUCUUCCGCUCCCUACAAGCACAGCAAACCCUUCCACAGCCUCAUGACAGCCCUCUGCAUGGUAGCCCAGCUAAGCAAAGCCUCCAUUUCUUUGGUUUGCCUCCCACAUCAUGACACCCACGCAGCUGCUUUCAGCACCGAGGCAGGAGAAGCAAUGAUCAGCUGAAUCCCUGGCAAACAUGCUCUUGUUUCUGAACUGUGUGUAUCAGAAUAACCCUGCCAUCCCUCCUCUGCUCUGCUGUGAUUAACUGACCUUGUCCUGGUACCUGUCAAUUGCAAGAUAGGAUUUAGAUAAUUUUAUGUAUCUGAAUAGCAGAAAUUGAGCUUGAAACCCAGGCAGAAUUGCUUUUGCUCAUGUGGUUGUGCAAAUCCCUCUGCUGUACCCGGCAAGCGAUCUCAGCCUGUUUCAUAGUGAGGAGAUAUGCAUUUAAUCUUUUAGUUUAUUACAUCUUUCACUAGGAAUAGUGCUUGUACUAUCAGAUGCUGUUAAAGUAUUUAUGUUUUUCGCCCUCAAGAAAUGUUCAUCUUCCCUUACUGUGUCCCCCAGGUUGGAUUUGUUUUGUUCAGCUCUACCAGAGCCUGCGUGGGGACUCAUCACAUCCCUGCCCUUCUGCUCCUGGUGGAGCAGAUUUUUACCUGGUUGCUUGUGGCAGUGAGGCUGCUCAAGCUGGGCAGAGCACCUCGCAUACCCAGCCCUAAAUUGCUCCUACUUUCAAUCUCCUUUCCACACUGAGUGCAAUUCUUCACUGUUCCCCUUUCUAAAAGGCUGCCCAGGGAGGUAGUUGAGUCACCAUCUCUGGAGGUGUUAACGAAACAUUCAGAUGUUGUGCUAAGGGACAUGGUUCAGUGGGCAAUAUUGGUAGUAGGUGGACAGCUGGACUAGAUGAUCUUGGAGGUCAUUUCCAACCUUGGUGAAUCUAUGAUCACAUUUGCCAUGUGGUUUGUUAACUGAUUUGCCCUCAUUUCAUUCUGCAUCUGUGGUCAACAUCAGAUUUGUGUUGUCUUUGUUAACUGAUGUUUAACAGCAGGUGAAAGUUCUUUCUCUUGAGUUAUCUGCAGCUAAAAAUUAAAAGGAAGAGCAAACAGCCUCCAAAACAACAUGAGACCUUUUGUAGUCAGUGAAUGCUUCUGCAAACAGUGCAUCUCUGUAAUUAUAGUUCAUGCUCAUCAGCAUCAAUAGAGUGGCUCAUCCUGAAUCAAGCCCCAAAUGUGAAAGCUUCACAAACUGCCAGGUUUUAUAUGUUUAGAUACCUAUAAACACUUCUUGGGUAUGAUUACCCAUCUCUUCAUAGUAACAUGUUUCAGAUACUGUGUACUCAGUGUACAUUUUAGAGGGGCUCAGGCAUAUUGGGCUACAUCUGCUGUUUUAUUUUUAGGAAGAUGAGCUCUGGUAGAUUUGCUUAGGAACAACGCAUAGAAAGAAUUAUGUGAACUUUGCAGGCAGCUGAAUAUUUCCAGUUCUGGGUCUAUGAACCUUGACAGCGUUCUUUCAAAUAAAUUACUUGUUGUAAAACUCAUGUUGACCUCUUCUCCCCAAAGGCAGAAAUCUAGAAGUCAUCCCAGUGGUGUGAAAGGUCUAUCUUAAACCAAUUUAAGCCUCCAGGAAAUACAGAAUUAAGGCUGACACCAACCUUCCAUCUUUGCCUGUGACAGCGCAGUGAUGAUAGCAGAAUAAGAACACGGUGGCUGUACUAAAGAUGACUUGACUGCUCUGAAUGCACCAAAUGUAUACAUCAUGAAAGAAGUUCAGUGCAAAUACAUCUUGCUAUCAGUUUUGUCUCAGCAGGUUAAUACAGAAUAGAGAAGAUGAUACAAUUUUGAAAGCAGCUUACACAGUAGGUACCCAAUUCCCACCACAACUGGAGCUUGGAGGCCUAUUUCUCAAAUUCUGAUCUUGCAAGGGCUUAUGUAUGUGCUUUCCUUCAAGGGCUGCAUAUAGAGCAACAACUUAGCAACGUAUUAGAUUAUUUUGAACUAUCAUAUCUAGACAGUCCUGAGAAGUGAGGCAACUGUAGUAGUUUCCUAUAAUGUAGCCUCCCUAUAAAACACCUGAGUACAAGCCUGAGAACUGAUGGGAACUGCUCUUGGUUGGAAUUUAACUUUGCUUACUCAGUGAUUAAGCCCUGUUGUCAAUUUGUAAAAUCUGUAUUGUAAAAGCUGUGAUAGAAAUCUUCCCUCUUCUGCAUGGGUUUUGUCAAUCCAUCUUGCUAGCCAGAUAAACCAUGUUCCUCCAGUAUGCAAAACCAGCCAUCUUCAGAGAAAUCCAGCCAGACUGUCACAGUUGCCAAAGUGCUUUGAAGACAGAGGGGCUGGGUUGCAACAGCACUUUUCCCCCUGUGAGAAGUCAGUGGUGUGCGUGGGUCCUUGUGAGUGCAGGCUGCUUCUCUUCCUGCAUGCACAUCUCUGAGUAAGUCAGAGCUGCAAAGGACCUCAGAGAAAACACCUGCAUCUGCGGGACUAAUGAAAAACAUUGUUUUGGCAGCACUAAAGGUCUAAUUGUAUGGGGUGAUUCCACAGUACGUGUUUUUGUCUAGCAUAAUAAACUAGUUUUAACUGUAAUGGCUGAGCUGCCAGCAAAUUACAGGUCCUCUUUGAGCUGAACUGACCUAAUUAGCUUUUGUUUUGUGCAGCUACUGAAUAAGCAUGAACAAAGGAUGCUUUCCCUCUUGCAAGAAUAAAUCAGAAUUUAACGUACAUAUCCAGGAGGCCCAAUAUGUCUUGUCCCAUCUUGCAAGCCUCAAAAGGCAUAAAUCCCUGUAGUACAAACACAAUGGCACCACAAUUGCCCGUGCUUGCCUUUCAGUAGAACUGCUCCUUGAAGCCUGGCAGCUUGUAAUGACCAGGCUUGAUAGCACUGCCUGUUGGUGCACAGGAUGUGGAGCUGCUUUGGGGCCAGGGGUAAGCACGGGGUGCAGCCCUGCAGGGGGAAUGAGGUCUCUAGCCCCAUCUUUUGGCAAAGCUGGAUUUCACACCUAUUCAUCUAGGGACGUUAGGGGACCUGCUUGUCCAGAGGAAGAACCGUGCUUAAGCUGUUUUCUCUACACAUGGCUGCUGUUGGGAGGCUUCAGAGCAAAACGCAGCCUAGAGACACAGCUCCUUGCUGUUGUUGCUUCUGGAAGUUCUGUGGCACCUUUCCUAGCUAGCUACUCCCUUUUCCUUAUACGAAGCACAAAUCAUAGUUUACUUACUGAUGUAACAAUGCAAAACCUGGUGUGAGAGCAGUUUGCUGCAAUCUAGGAUGUUCUUUGCACCAGCCUAACAAGUUGCAGCAAUGCAACGAUUCUGUUUUAUGACAUUUGCACGUGUAUUGCUUCCUUAUACCAGCACUGUUAGCGGGACAAAUUGUGUGAGAAGAUGUAGUUUAGUGCCCAGAUGGUGUCUUUAUUAAGUUCUCAUUAGCUGUGCUUCAAAGCACUCCAGAAUGAAGGAAAGCUGUGGUGCAGAGUGCAGCAGGUAUGAUACCAGAUCUGAAAACAGAGUAGUGUUUUGUAGUGGGAGCAUUAGGAGGAGGUGAGUGCAGAGAGGCUGAGGUUUGGCACUGGGGAAGGAGGAGAGCUGGAUGUAUUCAAAGCAGGCUCAGCUCUGGCACAGAGAAAGGAAUGAUGGAAGCAGCCCUGUUUCUAAGGAAGAAGGUGGAUAUGAACAGCCCUGUUGGCAGCAGGGAGAUAAUGUGGACAGACCAAAUCGGCCGUGAGUGCAGGAGGGAAGGUUAUUGUUUGCCCACGUCUCCCAUCCCUGCACGAGUUUGCUGGGGGCAAGCUUGGGAAAGAUUAAGGUAAUACACAGAAAAAAGGUGCAGGACAACUGUCUCCCAUGGUGCCUGAAGCUGCUCAAUCACCAAGCCCAGCUCCACCAGCCAAGCACAGAUUAGCUUAUCUGGGCUGGGGCAGGGGCAAUGGGGCUCGGCUGUGCCUGCCAAGGAAAAAAAUUGAUGCUCAGAGCAAAUGCCCAGGAUGCCUUCCUCAGCCAGGCUUGAAACAAAGACAGCAUGUCAGAAAGUGACCAGCUGGGAAGGAAAACAAGGAAAAAAUAAGGAACCUACCCCUAUCAGGAGAGGGAACAGUGGGCAGCUCUUGUUUCUGCUGCUUUUAAUAAUGCAUGGAGAUCUCUAACAAAUCUGCCAUUUUCACACUGCUAAUUGCAGAAGUGUUUGCCACCUCCCCAGGGCAUUUCUCACGCUAUCCUGACACAUUAUUUUUCCUUCCCCCACUGCUCCUUUCCUUUCCCAUGUUUUUUUUUUUUAAGACAACAAUCUCCAGUUGAAUCAAAGACUGAAGAAUUUAACCUCUAUAAAAAAGAUUUGAAAUAACAAAUGUUGCACACUGUCCUCCCUUUGAGGGUGCAUCUCGGUAGUAUGAAGAAGUCUUAUGUAAUCAAUCAGCAAGGACUUGCACAGCACUUUUCUGCAUAGAAAUUGUGUUCAAGUAUUCAGUGAAACCUCCUGGUUCUUUAAGAUCUUGAAUCUCAAAUAUUGUUUGACAGAAAGAAACCACUGCAGGGUUUUCGGGAUUUAACCAUCUCUCCCUCAGAAAUGUACCACUGUAUCAGAGCUCCUAAGCAUCAUUGAAUACAACAGCUUUGUAGAUACUGUUUGCUUAUCUGGAAUAAGACUUUGCUGCAGAGGCUUAUUGAUUUAGGGAAAAAGACAGUAAAAAGGUAAGAAUUCCAGAAAGCUGUGGUGCUGAUUUAAUGUUUUUAGGAACAGAAGUGAAAGCAGGCGCUGAUAUACAUUGAAAAUAUCACAAAACCAAAGCUCUGCAAAAAGUAUAUAAAGUUAUAAUAGAGAAGUUGCAGGGGAAAAAAAAAAUCUUUAUGCAGCCCAUUUUACAGAUAUUAAGGCCGGUGCAAGCUUCACCCUCUCAUUUUGUUGAUCUUCACAUCAUUUGUAUCAUUCAGGGCUGCUGAAUUCAGCAGACAAAGGAAGCCAAAACUUGCAAAAAGACACAGUCUGAAUUUUAUUAUUCUGAGUGAGGAAAUGUCUCUUGCAGGUCAGGGGAAACUGAAACAGCUGAAACCCCAUUUCCUGCAUAGUGUCCCUUGGAAGUUGAGGAAUCUAGCUGUGGUGGUCUGAGGGUGUGAUUAAAUAGCAGUUGUAUCUAAUAAUGGGUAUGUGUAGCUGCUUUAGGAGAAGAGCUAGUAAAUCAAUUACAUGCCGAUAUAAAGCCCCAUUGGAAUCAACAAAAGAAAUUGGCAUUGACUUUGUACCAGGUCUUAAAAGAGCUGAAGCAACAAAGGAUGAACAGCACAACCAUCUCCGAAACACAGCAGGAUUCCACAGCAAAAUCCUGCAGGCUUCGAAAACAGCUAUUCUUUCCAUUCAAGCCAUUCUCUCACAGGGCUCCCAGAGCUCACCUCAUACACCCCAACAGUUUGGCUCUGCUGGGCAAAGAUGAGGUAAUACUUAUAAGAGGUUCUCCAACUCCUGACAGUGUUCUUCACUAACGCCAAAGCAACAUCCCUCCAACAAUGCUAGGAUGCAGUGCUGCUUUGACAGGAGGUAUUUCCCACUACUUAAGAUCCUGAUGCACACAAGCUGCUGUGAGCUCUCCCCCAGGAGCCAAAAGAUGCUCAGGGCAUAUCUGUGUCCAGCAGCUGAAGUCCUUCCUGCAAGCUCAGAACUCCAGGCUCUCCUCUGACAAGGAGGAGCACUCACUGCAUCUCUGCCAUAGCCCUACUUAAAUCAACAGCUUUACAUCAGCAUGCAACUGAUACAACUGAGGAAGAAUCAAGCCUCCAACAUUGGACAUGUUUAGAAGUCUUCUGUUGUAACAAAUGUUCGGGCAGAACAGGUUAUCCUUAUUUCUUGAACUGUCCUUACUUCUUGAAUCAAACUCGAGAAGCAAAGCAGCAGUGAUUUGAAGUCUGCUCACUACAGAAGUAUAUCCAGUGAAUUUCAAACACAGGCGGAUAUCCAGACUGAGGAGCAGCUAACAGAUGGGAAGGCAGAGAUAGUGGAUUUAUCAGAGCUAGGCUGAUCCCACAGAAGUUCAGUCUCUCUAAGGUACCCUGGAGAAAAUAGUUUUUGUGCAGCCUGAGAGCAGAAAAUCACCAAUUCUUACCAGCUGGAAGAUAAAAUGCUCAGUUUUCAACAGUAUGGCUUCAACAGGCAAAUGACAUGGUUGGUGAGAUAGCAGGCAUCCGUACCCAUAGCUUUGUCUUCUCUGUUUGCUGGUGGAAGCAGCAGUGAGGGGAAUGGAGACUAAACUUUGCCAAAAAUUAAACUUUUCCCAUUUACUUCUGAAAUGGGCUUUUUUUUUCUAAAUUAAGUGGUUAUACAAGGGCUAUAGUAACCACUGUUACCAUAACUGAUAUUUCUCAGAUCUGACAGAGUCAUUUCCAGCUGAGAUGUGAGAGGUUAUUGGACAAAGAACAGUGGUCCAGAACUGUGAUUCAGAAGUUAAAAUAGUUUGUGCUGAGGUCAGCUCAGUGGAAUUCUUUCACCCAACUGCUCAGGUCAGCCAGGCUGGAGACUACAGACUCAUGCAGAUAUUCUUCCACCUACAUCACAUACAAGUGAUACAGACAUGUCAGAAAGUGGUUAUAUCAGCUCCAUGCUCUGAGCCCAAAUGAUGAUAAAGUCUCAAUCUUAUUCCCUUCAGUUCCCCAUGCAGUUUCUGCCUGUGGCGAAACAGCCUGUUAAGCCACAUCCUUUAGCCUUUUUGUAAUGUCUGUUCUUUCUGGGUGAUGCUGGCACUGUUCCCUACCAUGUCAGAAGCAGUGUGUAUGUUUUGGGGAUCCCUAAGCAAUUCUGUUUACUGCAGUGCACUGGGAACUUCACCUCCUGGGUAGCAGCAGAGAACAAACCAAUUGUUCCCAGGCCAGAUGCAAAAGGGGUGCUAACGAAAACAGCACGAAGCACAGCCUUGAUGUCUCACUGGGCCUGCUGUUAUGGUUAUUUACUAUGGCCUUCUUUCAGUUACCAUAAAUCUUGGCAGAGAGGGCUUAGUUAAGAUAUGAUUAUGUGGGGAUUAUUGCAUAUGAGAUUCUUGCUAGGGCUUAUAAACAUGACAAACCCUGAAAUAUGGUUUCCACAGAAGAAGAGAGAGAAGGGAGGAAAACGGUGCUUUUACUGAAAUAUGCCACAAUUCCCUAAUUACUCCUCUACACUAGUGACUCUGAGUGGUGGAUAAUAACAAUUAAAGGAACAUUCUCUGUUCUGCCCUCUUAUGCCUCCAAACUUAUAUUCUCUUUGGGGACUCAAUUUAACAGCAGCUGCAGAGUAAGACUUGAAUGAAAUUAGGCUGAUUUAAGAGCCUGCAUGGAGCUCUGUAACAAAGGGAGACUGCAUAGUACCAUUUUGGAGAUGAGUUCCCUUUGCUUGUGCUUUACAGCCAGGAAUUAAGUGGCUAGAACUGGCCAGCCAUUUCUUGGCAAAAUAUCUUUGAGUACAGUAAAAAAUAAAUCUAUUAAGAGCCUUUCAGAUGCAGGGAAUUCAUUCUCUUCAAAGCCUUCAGGAAGGACCCGGCCCAAUUCUUCCACGCUCCUUAAAGGACUUUUUUAGAAGGUCUGAAGAGAAUCUUAUUCUAAACACUACUUCCCAAAGUGAAGGAAAAAUGAUUGUUAACUCCAGCUAAACUGAGCUUGUUCUGUAGUGCUUUUAGCAUCAGAUUCUACUUAUAUCCUGAUCUGGACUAAGCAGCCUUGCAGAAGACUGCUCACCCCCCAUAAUGGGACUCCGUAAGAAUGCGUGUUAAUUAUAAAGAGUAUGGCAAAGCAAUAGGUUUUGUACUCCUUGUUGAAGGAAGCUGUUUUCUCUUGGAGUUUAAAAGAUGGGACGUAAGCCAACUGUUGUAAUUCUGCCUAUACCUUCUCCAUAGGCUUUCUGUCAAUAAUAGCAUUUAAAUAUCACAAUAAGCAGAUAUUUAAGAUGUGUGAAUCAGUCCUCACCAGCUCCUUUUGAUCAGUGACCUUAGCUGUCUAUGUUGCAUUUAACACCCACCCCUAGAUCCCCUGUUCUGAAAUAUUACCCACUUGGGGGGCAGGAUUAAAACGUGGAAAGUUUUCCUCUUUGACUUCUUGCCAAAACCAUUAAAACAUUCUCUGCACUGUCACAGCUUGUGCCACCUCCCAGGGGAUUUGAUUUAGAAGUAAAUUACACGUAAGCACUGGAUGAAAAGAGCUUCAUUAUCUAAUUCUUCCUGCACCAGCAUUUCUUUAAAUUGCUUACAAGGGAGAGAAGACAAUUAGUCCUGUGUUCGAAAUGAGAAGUAAUAAGUAUCUGUCACUCCCAUUAACCAUGCAUAUUUUUUGAUAUGCAAAUACGAGUGCUUUCUAGACCAGUGAGAUGGGGCAGCCAUAUCUCCAUGGGGCCAGGUGCCAAGUGUGUUUUGGCCAACUCUGAGCACACCCAACCAUCAUGGGCUUUGGGGGCUGCUGGCUGGACCAAGUGUCUUACAGCAGUCUGGACACUGAAUCCGCAUGCAGUAGGGAAAGAAAAAUUGGAUGCCCUUCAUCCCUUUGCAGUAGCUGCAAGUACACAAAUGCUUCUAUGGCACCAACAGGUUUCUAAGCAGAUUUCAGAAACACCUUUGAGGGCUCUGCAAUCAGUAGGAGUUCCUCACAGAUUUGAAUUGGCAUUGCUCUUCCAGGCAGACUUCAGGACAUGGAAGCUGAUGACAGUGAUGAUCUCUGAUUAGUAGAGAUUGACUAGAAGCCUGCUUUCUUAAGUCACUGCUGAGAAACCCCAUUCAGGCCUGCAGCAUGGUUGUCUUUUCAUUUGACUCUCCCACCAAUUCUAACUUAAAUCUGUUGAGUAAUAUUCUCUUCCCCGUGCUUACUGGUGAAAUUCUCAAGUCAGGUCAGGAUGAAAGAGACAGCUGCACUAAUACAAGCACAGUCCUGUGUUCAUAUCCAUCCCAAACCUUACUACAAGUGUUCUUGACCUACCCCUUGAAUUUCAUGAUUUUGUUCUUUUCAACAUUUCAUCUGCUGCACGCUCCUCCAAGAUCAGCCUACCUCAACUACUAUCAAGCCAAAGACAUCUCCCUUGUGCCAGAGUAAUUCAGAGCAGAAGACAUAUUCCCUUUAGUAGAGGAGCCAAGGUGCUCCUCAGGUUCCAGAGCUCAGGUACAGUAUCUUCUCCCCAGGGCUCAGCAUGCAGUACUUACCCAGCUGGCAGGUACAAGAUCUUUUUCUGAAGUUUCAACUCUGUCAUGAUUACAUCUGACCUUCCCUACCUUAAGUGUUGAAAACGCAAUAUAAAAAUACUUUUAAAUGCUAGUAAUAGGCAUACAGUGUUUCAGGGACAGACCUUUGAACCAAGGUCAAAUUUUGUCACCUGAGCAACACCUGGUUCUCCACCAACUUCUGUGCAUCUGAGCAAAGCACAUAUACUCACAGGGAUGUUUUGUUGCAUGUAUUUUACUGCCUCUGCUUUCUUUGAUUUCUUCAGCAUUCAGAGUUUGCAGGAUUACUGCUGCCAUACAAAUCAUUCUGCAUGCUUCAAAAGGGAGGCUGGUAUUUUAUGAGGUGCUGAACGAAAUUUGCUGCAACUGAUAGAGGAUCCAAUUCUAUGGUCAGUCUUUAAACAGGCAUGCUAAAACUAGCGGAGAAUCAGCAGUAAGAAGUACUGCUCUCAAAGCAACAGCCUUAAAGCAAACUGAGCAAGAGGCAGUAUUUGCUGGGGUAUAGUUAAGAAUUCAGACACACUGGAUUUAUUUUUGGCUCACCCAAAUAUACACAGAAAGUUUUGCGAAGUGAUUAGGGUUCAUUAAACAGAACACUUGAGAAUGAACUUAAAUGAUUUACCUAAUGGGGAUAAACUUGCUUGUGUUUGCCGUUACCUUGCCAGAAGUGCAGCAGAUUUCUCCCUCUUGAGUCAAGAGCAUUAAUAUUUAAUCACUGCAAGGCCAAACUCUGUGUGAGUGCCACCCUAUGAGACCCAGCCAAGGUCAGCGCUGCAGAAGGGACAUUUGUUAAGGCUACUUUCCUUGUCUUGCUCUGUUCAUUUGACAGCCUUGCCACUGCGUGGUACGCCUCAGUAUUUCUUUAUUCCUGUCAAUAAGAUGAAUUUUCUUUUCCAAGUCAUGGCUGCCUCAGCCUAGCACAGAGAUCUUCCGUUCACACAUCAGGUGUGUACUCACCAACAGCGAGCAGAGCUUAAAUGGAGCUGUGGAGAGACAAUGAACGAAGUUAUUUCAUAUGAAAGUUACUUGAAAAUGCUGAAGCUUCCAAGUAAAAUUAGUAAAAGCCUCAGUCAUGACAAUUAUUCUGGAUACGUGCACUGCUGUUAAAGUUACUACAGUUCGAGUGUUAGAUUGUUGAUGUCAAGUGGAAAAGCAGUGUUCAGAAGAGUUUGCAUUCCCUUUAAUGCAGUCCCUUAAAUUUCCCUCCAAUCCUGUGUGAAACUCCAGAAUUAUAGAUUUUUUGUUUCACCAGUGAGUUUAUUUCCUUUGUUUCUUAAGCAGUUUUUCUAAAAGCAAGGCUUAUGUCAUGACACUCUGAUAAAGUUCCCAAAAGCAAAGAGGUGUUAAAGAUAAAGAUCUUUUAGGCUGUGUGGAAUUAAAAAAGGCUAAAAGGAAAGCUGCAACAUUAGCCUACAAACACAAGCAAUAGAAUACUAUUUAUUCAUGUCAGGGCUGUAUCAGCAAGUAAACAGCACUGGCUCCACCGAUGCACUUGCAAACCUUAUCAUGUCUGCCCUAAUUCUGCCCUACUUCAUUGCGGGCAAAAGGGUUGCUUGAACAGACUGCAAGUCGUCUGCUGCUUUUAUGAAGCACACAUGGGAGCUAUGAUAACACAGACAGGGUUGUUGUUGGUUUUUUUUUUUUUUUUUUUUUUUAAUUUGUGAUUUGAAGCUAAGAUUUGAACAGAUGCCCCCGGAGAUGAGCAUCCAUUGUGCUAUUCCUUUGCAUGUUACAUUGGUCUCACCGGAAGGUUCAUUUUGAGUGGAAAGUCAAUCAACUUCUUAAAAUAGUAAUAAUAAAUAGAUAGGACGGUCAUUUUCUGUAUCAUUUUCCUUCACCUCUCCCCUCAGCCAAGAAUCCUGCAUCCAUUUCCCUCCCUUACUGUUUCAUUGCCUCGAUAAAGGUAACUGGGAGGAAACACUGCUCUCCAUCCCACCGAUUCAGACCUUAACCUGAGUCCUGCAUUUUACUGUUGGCAAAGCUGGGCCAGUUCUGCACACAGUUGGGUGCGUUUUGUAGUUCAUACCAUUCAUCUGUGGGAAUGUGUCAAAUCUGCAUGUGAGACCGCUUCAAAUAAGUGAGCAAUACAAUAUUGGAGAAAACCCCACAGGGGUCAGUGUUCUAAUAAUAAAUUGAGGUUCUCAUCACAAGCUCUAGCAGAAUUGAAGAAAUAACAUGGCUUUCCACAGGCACUCAGAUUGAUUGGCAUUUUGUCUAUAAAGCAAUGAACGUGCAGUUCAGUGGCUAUCUUACAAAGAUCCUACAGCCUGUUGAUAAAGGAGAUGCAUAGGCAAAGUCUUUGAAGAUAUGGAAUUUGGGAAACUUCAGGGCAGAGCUCCCAGGAUAACCCUGAUUGUUAUGAGCACAUUCACCCACAGAACACCCCUCCUGACAUCCCAUCAUGGAGAACCAGCACACUCCAUCCCUGUAUGUUACAAAUUUCCUACAAAGAGUUUGUUCAGCUCUUAUCUCUGUUUUCCACAAAAGCUUGAAAGGACACUGUUGAAAGCUUAUCUGUUCUUUACACAGCCCAGUUGCUCGGCUUGCUCACUUAUUCCUUCCCCUCUCAAAAUAGAGCUCAAGUUGAUAUGAAAAUAACAUACCUCUCUCAGAGGGGGUGCAGAACCAGCAAGGCAUUGGGAAGAAACAAAGAAUGCUGACGUGAACUGGCUAUGUAUGUAUUUGAAAGGCUUCAAUAGCAGACUAAUUAAUCCUACUGUUGAUGCUAAUAUAGUUCUUUCAGGAUUCACAGUUCACUGCUCCAAGCAAAUUUACCUUUGAUCUUUAUUUAGCUCAAGAUGGUGAUUGAAGUUUUUGUCAAAUGCAUUUAACUGCCCUAUGCUCAUGGACAGACUGGGGCAGUGCAAGUAGACAGGCAAACCAUCACCAUCACACUGGGGAAAAGGGAACUUGAGUAUCUGGCUGUUAGUGGAGGGAGAUGAGCUCCUUGUGGCUUCUGUGGCUCUUGCUCUGCUCUAAAAUAGCUCCAUGGAGACCAGGAAGGUGGAGAGUCCACUGAACUGAGAAAUGUCCAUUUCUGUCAAAGCCUUUGAAGGCUUCACCCACUGCCAUGCUCACUUUGCUCUGCUACUUCUGAUUAAAAGAUUUUUCCUCCUUCAUUUAUCCCCUCCAAAUAGGAUUAACCCCAUGUGCAAGAUAUGAAAGCUCCCACUUAUCAGGCCUGCUUGAUCUGCCAGCUGUCAAAAAUAAAUGCUCUGUCAUCUGCAGGUUUCUCUUCACUUUUGUCUGACUCAAGGCUUGAGAAGCCCUUGCUCCUUUUUCUCCAUAAAAGAGAGAUGCAGGGAAUCCAGAAAUCAGCCUUGGCCUGGUGACAUCCCCACAUUCAGUGAGGUGCUAGCUGUCUAACUACUCCCCCAGCUGCUUCUCUUCACAGUAAUAGCUAUCGAGGGUCACUAAGCAAACCAGAACAGUACAGUCCCCGCAGUCUUUAGAUGAAGAUGUGCAGUGCCACAAGCUUGGUGCCCUCUGUGAUCUGUCUGCACACAGCUCUCACACUGGUGCUUUGUGGGGUGGCUGAGGACAGCAUGUUCAGGCCAACCUGGCAGCCCACCUAGCUGCUUAAUGAGCUGACACUGCUAAGCUGCCAGGCAUGUGCUGUCCCCAGAUAUGCCAUGGAACGCCACUGUCUGCGUACAGUGCCACUAGCACAACUGCUGUCUGUAUAACCAGUCCUAUGACAUCCCCAGAGGAGAUCGCAAGCAUUCUCCAAAUGUCUCUGCAGCCACUGGUUUUGUUCAGCCAAGAAAAUGCAAUUGAAUCCCUUAGUUUUAUGCCAGAUACUCCUUUUUGGAAAUUCUAAUUUUGAGACCAGGAUCUUUCAGCGCCACCUGUAAAACUAGCCUAGUGCAAAAGGACAGUACUUUUCCCUUACUUUUGCACGGUAAAAGCAGUCGAAAUACUGCUGCCUGGCGUGAAGAAAUUAACGGUCAGAUGUGAGUCAGAAUAGGACUUAACACAGCAACAGCAUUUAACUGUGCUUAGGCCUUCUGAACACUGCUACUGUUCCUAUUUAGGCUUAAUGACUGUCACAGUAAGGAAUCCCAUACAGAGCUUUGUAGAAAGCAGUCCAUUUUUAUACCCCACCUUCUUGCAGCCUUGAUCACGCUAAUCAGCACAUAUUUAUGCAUGCAAAAAUGCAAAUAUGCAUUUGAAUUACUGACUAGCAAUGGAGAUUAUGCACAACUGAUGACAGUGGAGCAAAAUAUGGGGUCUGUUGUACUACAUCUGGCAACCAGAUCUUUGGUGGCAAACUUCCACUGCUGAAGUUUUGGAUGUUCUGGGGGAGCCCUGAGGUGAAGAGACUGAAGGUAAUUUGAUACACAUAAACUUAAAGGAAGGGAAUAAAGUGAGUGCAAGCUUCAUUUACAAGUUGAAUCAGUGCACAGAGAUGAGUCUACACUGUCAGAAAGCAGAACCUUUUGUGACGUCUCUGGUUUUUGAUAUUUUUCAGUUAAGGCCUCAAAAUGCCAAUGAAUUUCUAAAUUACCACCUCUAAGGCAAGCUAUCAUCCCAUGCAGAAAAACAACUUAAGGCAUCGCUACGAACAGUCAUAAGCUUGCCAGCAUUUUAGACAGGACCAAAACUGGCUUCAUGUACAAUAUAACUCAUUUUUUAGCCACCUUCAGUAGUCAUAAGUCUGCCUUACAGCCAUUUACAACCAGUUUCUUACAGUCUAGCAGUGCCAAGAUGCUGCAGGGCAUCAGCUGACCUCGCUUGAAGGUCAUCGUGGCGAGAUCUUGAUCAUAAAGUCAACUUCUAAAACAUAGUAAAUUCUUUGUGACUUGCUGUAUGGUAUAGCCCCAGACAUACCACAGGGCUGAGCGACUGCAUGAAACAGGAACAUGGUUUUUGCAGACUGUCACAUCCCUCCCAUGCAUCAAAGAAAGCUUUCUCUCUUCCCUAGAACAAGGGAUUCUGGUUUUUAAUUAGAGCUGCUUUUUAGUUUAGCAUAAUUCCUCUCACACCGAAUCACGCUUUACCCAGGGACUUCUCCAACAGAUCAGAGCAGAUGCUGUGCAGCUUGGGUCAAGUCCAUGCUGGGGCUUUCAGCCACCAACAGCACACAGGAGAAAAACAUUUUAGAUUAUUUUUUAUAGCCAGGUUCCCUGCUCUUAAGUGUUGAUUUUUUGUGUGUGCAAAUAUAUGUAGGUUGCUCUCAAAUUAAUACCUCCUAUUUAUUUCCAUGAAAAUUACAACAGAUACAAUGAGCAUGAGAAGACUAUUUGAUAAAGAAAAUUCUCAGCUACAAAACACUGCUUUUCAGCACAGCCACCACCAUUAGUAAUGCAUUUUCACCAGUGGUGAACAAGAGUCUGCAUGCCACACUCAUAACAACCUCCACCAGCAGAGGUGGUGGCACUGUCACUGUCCCCACCUUAUCACCCACCACCUCAGUGUGCUUAUAUGCACUUUUUAACUGUUUGGUCUCCAGAAAUGUUCAGAAAUUGAAUGUCAAUGGGUGCCACUUUUUUUCUGCGUAGAGGAAUUCAAAGACACACCUUUGCUUCAUCUGCACUUCCAUGUCAGACACCAUUGCAUCAGACUGCCCCUCUGCUGCCACCCAUCACACAGCAACAAAAUGCAAUAGGAUGUUGUUGGGAAGGUUCAACCUCUGCUGCCAUGCCUCUAAUAUCUACCUCUGAUGUUAUGGGCCAACAGAAUAAAAUAGGAGAUACUGCUUUUGGAGCAGCACUCAUAUGUUUGGAACAGUCAGUGAAAGCUUCAGUCACUCAAAGAUUUGUAUAAAAAGGACAAAAAAAAAAAUCUUGGAGCAAAUAUUCAGGAACAGAUCACAUUGUGCAUGGCUCAGGAUGACAGCACUGUGACCAGACUGGUAGCUGGCUGCCCAUUUAGGUCUGGAUGACCCAAGACAGCCAAUCAUAGGAUUGACUGCAGAGCCCCAGAAUGGCUUUGGUAUAAGCUUUGUUCACCCAGAGCUGCAGUUUGGAUUUGCAGGAGGCCACAGGGAAGCAGAGAAGGAACUGUACUGAUGAUAGCCAUGGGAGAGGCAGGUAUAUGCAGAGGGAAAAGGCUCUGUCUGCCUUCUCAAGCUUUCCAGCUCUAGAUUUGUCUUGCUGUCUUGAGGGAGGGAAGAGGUCUGCUCUUAUUUUCUGGCAAGAAGGGUGGACAAGGCAAAGAUGAAUUGUGAAGCUGUUUUGCAGAAAUAAAUCACCCCACUGGGGUCAAGCUAAAGGAACUACAGAGAUGAUUAUGGAUUAUUUUAUUGAAGUGCUGGCAUCUAAAAACCAUCCGGGAUGUCAAAGGACUGUCAUAUACACAGAACUUGUACUAUAGAUGGGGUAGCUGGUGAUUAAUGUAGGAGUAAUCUGCUGCCAGCCUUGCAAAUUGUCUGCUGCUUUAUAGAUUCAGUCACUUAUAGCCUCUGCCAGACCUUGUCUCCAUACACACACUUUCAAAUGCAUUGGAAGACAUUAUAUCACUGUAGAUUUGCCUAGCAGUUAGACUUUAAGCUGUGAUCCCAGCCCUGGAGAAAUUGCAUUUUGAAUCAAGCUGAAUAAACACAGUAUAUAGAAUACAGCAGUUUGGAAAUGGAUUUACUGGUGGCAAGGAUACAAGACUGCUUUAAAAAGAUCGUAUUGAAAGAAGGAUACAGAUAUAGGACAGUGCUUAGUAGAUGAGAUCUUCCACUACUCUGGUUCUCAAGCAUACCUCUACUGCAGGUUGUGCUUUUAAGCUCCCUGGAAGCUUAUGCCUAAAGCUGCAAAAGCUUUAAAAUCCAGAUGAAAAUUCAAACUCACAAAAAAACAGCAAUAAGUCAAUAUAAUAGGCAAGUCUCCUGUAGCUUUUAGCUCAGCUGUUAUGUCAUUUCCUCUGUUCACUCUACUAAAGCACAGUCUUGUGGCUAGGGUGCCACCAGUUCUGCUGUUGAUAGCUGGACUGGCUUUGGUCGGGCGGGAGCUUGAUGAGUUCCCUGCUACCUUGCCAACAUGGAAAGCGGGCACUUUUAGGAAAAUGAAAUGCAGAGCGAGCUUCAUCUAGAAAGGACUUUUUACAAGUGGUCUAUGUGCUAAUCCACACAGCAUUCCAGGUUUUCCCUACAAGUAGUGCAUUCCUUGUUGAAAACAGUGACCCAAGGAGUAGUAACUUCAAGGCAAUUAAUUUUGCAGAACUGAAGACAGAAUUUCAUUCUACUCCUCUUCAAGGAGGCCGAGGGUUGCCAUUGCAUUCACCAGGGCACAGUUCAAAUCUUCAGCUUCUGAAGUUUGAUUUUCUACUACCUGCCUUGAGAACUCUUUGGGAGCACAGUGAUUACAUGGUACUCUUAUCUUGGGUGCAGUCAAAGGGAAGGCGUCUGAGGAUCUAAGACCUACUGAUGAGAAAACCUAAAUCCUUCAGACAGCCUUAAAAAGAGACUGAAGCCUAAACACCUAGUUAUUCAGUACUGCAGUACAAGCUGAAAUCACAAGAGGAUUUGCUCCCAUCCUUAUGGUCUUUCUGUUAGACCACACUGCCUCCCAGUUAAUUAAUUCUAUUGAUUCGUUUGUUUUUAUCAGCCUUUCCACACUCAGCAGAUAUUUAGGACUUACAUGGGUAAUGCAUUUUCCAGUUAAAUUGAUCCCACUUUUUAUAUCCUUCCAUGCACUUAUUUGAAAUUUCCUUUCCAAGUCUUUUAAUGUUUUCAAGUUGAAUGCUGAUUCAUAGUAUUUUAAAUAUCCUGCAAGAGGGAAAAUCUGUGCACGGUAACUAAUAAAAUGGGCUCUUUAUUCCUGAUUAAUGAUGAGCAAGGCUAAAGCACUACCCUCCAGCAAAACUAACAAAACAAUCCAGACCAUUGCAUCCAGCAGUACACCUGCUGAGGCUGAAUUCAAUUUGCUUCUCCAGGGCCAUAAUAAAAUUCUUAUCUGCCUUCCCGCUCCUGUUCUGUUUAAGUAUCUAACCAAUUUAGGUCAACGCAUUUGUAUUUUGAGUAUGGCUGUGUAUGUCAGGGUGACUCUUCCAGGAACCACUGUACCUUGCCAACAUGGAGCCAAGUCACCCAUGGGCAGACUGAAAGCAGACAGCAUUGGGUAUGGCUGUGGCCUGCAGUCAAAUCAUGAUGGGCUUAAACUAAUCAAUUCUCUCUCAGUUAACGGUAGUUUACUUCUGUUGCAAGAAAUCUCCACACAUAUUGAUCAGAGUAUUAAAAAGCCCUGAAAUAUCACAGAAUAGUUGGGGUGAUCUGGCUUGGAGAUUCUGCUGGUGGUGUCCAUUAGCUUAAGUACAGCAUUUGCUAACAGAUACCUUCAGGGACAAGGGAACUAAAGGAAAGAUGUGAGAUUAGUAUCACACUAAUAGCAAAAAGGCAUUAAGCUAUUGUCCUGCUUCAGAGAGAUGCCUCUACAGGUUUUGCUUAUUCAUACAUAUUAUAAUGGAUACAUAGUAUUACAGAUUUAGGUGCCAUUGAGCCAAGGUCAAACACAACGUGGAAUUCAGUUGAGCAAGUUCAGAAAAUUCCUUUUGCUUUAAACCCAAAGCAAAUUCUUCAGUCUGUGCCCCACAGCUGGAAGAUCACCCAUCUGUUUAUCAGCCAGCAUCAGUCAGCCCUGUCCCGUAAGAUAACAUGCUUACAAGCUAGAUAGGACUGGCGUGUUUUGGGAAUAACUGGACAGCUGCUGUUCACAAGGAUUUUUUAGAGACAGACCAGCCUCUAAAUGAUGCUCCACUGCAGGCAGAUGGGAAAUAACAGAUUAAAGGUAGUCUGAAGUCCAAUCAUUUCAAAUGGAUUGCUUUGUGUUAAGUGGGAGGGAGUCUUCCAGGGUGACUGACUUGCCCUUGCUUCAUUUAUUUAUGCUCCUUCUAGUCUCCUGGUCCUCUUAUUUUUCAAAUCCAGUGAUCCUGAAGCAAGAUGCCAGGUUGAUGUUAACUCCUUCUAGCCUUUGACUCUUGGGUUCUGAUGGCCAACUUGAAAUAACACCAGGCUUUAAAACACUAUUAGGUCAGUGGCUUCAACAACAGCUUCUGCUUGGAAGUUGUCACCUCUUCACUUUCAGAGACCACAGUGCAGCCCAUAUACAGAUAUAUUAUUGUAGCUCCCUGUCUGUACCUUGCACAGAGCUAAUUCAGGAGAGGAAUAUUCAAGAUGACAAGAUGGACAGCAUGUCAGAGCAUUGCAGUCCACAACAGCACCUUUCUAUGAACAGCACUGACAUCUGUCUCCAAGAAAGCAACAUUCGAAGUAGUCUGUCCCCAGACUGUACAUAUCAGCGUGCAUAAAUAAAUACCAUGGAUACAAGCUUUGUCAAUCUUCCUGACAAAGAUCACAGCCUUUAGAUAAGGAGCCUAGCCAAAAGCACAUUUCUGUUCCUUUCUUCAUCAUUAAACCUGAUAGCUCAGUGAUAGGCAGCUAUUCAAUCAGACUAAGGCUUGCAGCAGGAAGAAAACUCACAAUGGCCACCAUGUCUCUCUCUCCCCUUUCUUAUAUAAAGACUUUUGGCUUAGUUUAUAGUAAGUGAACAGCAACGAUACACAGGAGUGUGAUCUCCAAUGGAGAAAAAUCUCCAGUCCUCUUAUAAUUAAAUCCAUUAUCUUAAGUUGUUCAGGCUCAGGAAAGAUUCUUGCCAUGAGAACCUGUGAACAAAAAGCAGUUAUUCACAGUAGUUUGCUUUAUCAGGUGGGAUAUCUUUUAAACCUAAAUGAGUUUCUGGAGAUUUUCAUGACAGCAUCUCCCUGGGUCUUAUGCAGAAUAUGGGCCUGGACAGAACUGCUCCUAUUCUGGCUGGAAUUCAAACUAAGCCUGACAUUUUGAUGAGCUUCUUAAGCAGUAGUCAAUUGGCAAGCCUUAGAAAAACACUCACUGGCCAGGGAUAAGAAAUCAAUUCAGACCUCAGAUAACUGCCUCUGUCAAUGGGUUUGAGUCACUCAUGCACCAAAUAUUUAUAAAUGCAGAAUAACUAAGAUCAAGGGCACCUUGCUGCCAAGUUAUUAACACCAGCAACUGCGAUGUGGUUUAGAAAUUUGUAGUGUAGGGACUCAUUUGUCUAAUUUUAGACAUCUACAAAGUUGACUGGGGAGGGCAGACACAUCUGGUCUGUUUUGGAGAUCUGUAUUUGAUUAAGCUGAACUGUUCCACAGGAGAGCCUUCUCCAGUGACAGCUAUAAGGAAAUUCAAUAUUAAUGCUAGAGAACUAUCAUAUUAGGGGUGGGCCUGCAUCUUUUCAAUUAAAAGCUCCCUCCAAAAGGAUUUUCCAAUACAGAGCUUAAGUAUGCAUACCAGCAGGUACACUUGUUAGGAUAUCUUUGUGAAAACAGAUUUUCCUAAUGGGAGUACAACGCUCUUGCAGCACAGUCAGUGAUAGUUCACCUCCCUACCACACUUCAGGGAAGUUUCCCUGACUGUGUCUCACUUUUCAACAAGAAUCUGUUUGAGUCAGAGGACCCAAAGCAAUCGGCUGCAGGGGCACCACAGAACUGAAUAAAAGAAGGUACUGGGACAACUUCACCUACAGCCUGCAGGUGCAUGUGGUACGGACAACUACAUUGCAGAGAUCCUAGAAGGAAGGCUAAAUGCAUCAGAGUACUCAGCGGGAGUCCUAAUCACAAACCAUGCUGGAGCAUCAGUCAGGAGCAAAAGUGGACCUCUCUGGACUGGCACUACCUCUUGUGAUGAGCUUUCUUAUCUGAAGCCUCGGUGAGCAUAAUUAGUGAAGAGUUGGUUGAUCUGCAAUUUUAGAUUUUUUUCCUCAAAUUUUAGUGUGGCUUUCACAGCAAUGUUAAGUUCCAGUGGAAUUUUGCUGUGCUGGAUAUACUACUACCACUGGAAAUAUAGCAGAAGUAUAACACUGCAGCCCAGAAGAAUUAAUUAGAUGAAGAUAUACGAUGAGCACUUACAAAGCAUUAGGACAUAGCUCUCGUCAACUGAUUCACUCCACAUCAGAAGUCAUAACUGUCCAUUUUAUCAAAGUUCCUCUUUAAACAGAAGAACCCUGCCUUCUUUCUCUGCUUCAGUCAGUUAAGGUGCCAGUGCAGACAAGGUCUGUGAGAAACACUGCACGUAAGUAUCCAACAGAGAGGACUGAGUCUUGAGCCAUGUUUGCAUUACAUUCUAUCCAUUCCAAAUGAGAUGCUGUUGUACAUGUGCCUCGGACAAUCAGAAGCAGGAUGCCAGCGGUGAACCUGCACACCCCUGGCUUGUUCUUGCCUUGCAAGACGAUGUCUUGUUUGUUAUAUUUAGUAGCUGAUGCAGUAUUUCACAGACAUACCGUUUCUGAGUACAUUUUGGCCUUCAAUAAACUGUAGUGUGCUAGCAGCUGGCACUCACUGCUACUUCUGUUGAGACAUGCAAUCAAAACAUCACUUCCUUGCUUUGCUCACCAACACUGAACAUCCAGAAAGUUUAAUCCUUGAGACUCUGAGACGAGUGGUCUGUUAAUUAUGAGUACAACUAAAAAUGGCUAUCCCCAAAAUUCUGAAAAUAACUCAGUACCUCUCACUGGAGCUUGAGAUUUAGGAAUUGGGCAAGAAGCCUCUUUUCCAUACAGUACUUUGGGUGGACUUUUCCUCCAUUGGCAGUGUUUGACAGAGCCCUGCACUUUAAGCUUCUCUGCAGAUCUCCACGCUUCUGUAAUGUUGUUCUACUUGAUGCUUAUUAAUUCUCCUUAUUAAAGUCUUCCAGAAUAAAAUCUUUCCUAAUUAGUAAUGUUGGAGUGCCUCUUCCAUUAUUCAUUAGACAGAAGAAAUGGGUUAGUCGUUUGCAGCAUCUUCCAGAGAGUAGAAUUAUUGAGGUUACUCUGAUACAGUUCAAGUGUUUCCAGCCGCAGCUGUAAAUUUCCACUCCGUUUUUCUGUCAUUCCUCUUCCUCAGAGCUGUGUGCUCUGGCUGCUAAUCUUCCCCGCACAAUCCCCCCUGUGUGCUGUCCAUUGCACAUGCUUCCAAAUGCACACACGUAGAACAAAGCAGAAGUCCUUUCACAACAUACCAAACACAAAUGUUUCCACACCAUGCAUAGCCUGCCACAUGCUUACAUAUUCCCUUUAGGAGGGAUCUGAGGGGAGACAUGGUACACUCUGCUUUGUGCAUGUAAGGAUUAGCACCCCUACACUCAACAUCUGACAUACCUGAAGAAAAUACUCUGCUGCUCUGGGCAUCUUCUCAGUUACCAGGUGUUUUGUCAAGGGACAGCACUUCAAAAAGGAAUUAAGGAUGGUAACAAGAAACACCAAACCUCCAGCACAAAAAUAAAGUCCUUAGGCUAAUUCCCUACAUUUCCAUUCCCUAAUUCCUAAUUAGGCAAUUAACUAAUUCCCAUUCCAUCCACAGCCAAAAAGGACAGAACUAUCAUCUGUCUUUAUGCUUAAAAAUACUCACUGAUCUGAGAAGUGUUCUGUGUUCUCCACAUGCAGAGAAUAUGGUGUGGGGGAAGAUGUUUUUGUCAGCUCACAUAUGAUGUACUGGGACAAAGCAAGUGGAGAGAGGUAGGGAGAAGAUGGGGUAGGGUUAGCAAUUUAAGAAAAGACCUCUCCUGGCAGAGGUGAAUACAUUGAUUUUAAUAUAUUCAGUCUUAUGAUCCUGACCUGUUUGUAGAAGCGAUUCACAGGAAUAAGGAAUACAGGCAAUGGCCAUGAGCACUGUGAUGCUAUCUGCCUGUUAGGUCAAAUGUGAUUUAAGGUAAGCUGUUAGCUCACAGGAAAGAAGAACUGAGGAGAAAAGAUAUGUAAGAGGCAUUCCAGUUUUUUUUUGCCUCAUACGUGGAAUCUCCUGCCAUUUUUCAUUUCAUCCAUUUCAUCACUGUAGUCCUGCCUAGAGCUAAAACCAGGCAGCACUUGAGCAACAUCUACUUGAAGGAUCUCAGAACCUUUCCCUUGCAAAACUCACCUUUUACCAGAGAAACAGUCUUUUGGAAGGCAUUGUACAAUUGCAAUGAACUGGAAGAGCUUCCUCCUCAAAUCCAAACUACAGCAGGCAAGCUGCACCUCUCAGUGCCUUUUUGUCACUGAGGGGAGGAAGAGUGGGAUGGGGGCUUCCAGUUUGGUGGUCAGCCCUUGGGUUCCUGCAAUCUGGGAGGGUCAGCUGAACUGAUAAGGAAUUCAGUGUGUUUUUUUUCCUCCUCAAAAAUGAUGGUUUGCUAAAAUAAAAGUAGAUGUCUAAAUGGCACCAAUUUGACAGCUCCUUUCAUUAGAAUUAUGAGAGAAUUUAUGGUUUGAUGCUGAGCAUCAAACUGCAGUCACUCUACAUCUAUGAGGAACACUGGCUCUUGACUGCUUGAAGCAGCUUCAGGCUGCUUUUGUACCCAGUGCAGAUGCUGAACUUAGCCUAGAGUAAACUGCUUGAACUCCUCCUGCAUUUCCCUGGAGCAAAGGAGCAAGGUCAGUCACUAACAUCCUCUGCCUGUCAUGUAAUUACCAAAGAACUUUUCCCCAUAGGUCCCCUCAUUUUCCACAAACAUGUAGUUUUCCAUGUAAUCAUGGCAGUAGGGCAGUUUCUUGACCUUGUUGCAACACUUGGGGGUAUUUACUGAGCUACAAACAGUCAAAGAACUUCUUCACUUUACUGUUACUCACUGGUUGAGCAAAACUCAUUGAAAUCCAUAUAUGUUUUGACUGAACAAGAACGAAGGAGUUUAGAAUAGAUUAAAAAGAAACUCUGCUAGCCUGAAACUUUCCAGGCUCCCUUCCCAUGCAACAUUUAGAAAAAUCAGCAUACCUUGGCUUCCUCUGCGCUGAGGAUGAUGUAAACUACAGAUUAACAUCCCCCUAUUAACAGCUGAGUAAUUUCAUAUCUGAGUUCCUCUUGAACUCAUGAGCAAAACCCAUCUGCUCAUGGAAAUUUUUAUUAUUUGUGUUUCUUUUCAUUUAUCCCUAGAUUUCCACCAGCAAUUUAGUUUGAGGCAGUUCUGCCUUAUCCCCCACAGAGAAUGGAUCUGGCAAAGUAUCUUGCCUGAACUUCUGACCUGGGCUGAUGCGCAUAAUUCAUCUUCUUCAUGGGCUCCAGGGCACCCACCUGCUCUCCAGACUCCCUGCUAGGCUUCUGGCUCCUGAUGUGCUUGGGGAAGUUUGUAUUAUUAUUUUUAUGCUUUCAUCAAGCUGAUAUGCAUAAACCUGUCUGAGGUUUGCCAUGUCUCCUGUGCACCCAUGCCUUUUGCUCUUUGCAGGAGAGGCCAGUAGUUUGGUGGUUACAUGAAGUGGGAACACACCACCCAUUCAGCCUACUCUACACGAGUAGUACGAUGGUGGUAAGUAGUGCACUGAGGGUGGGAGUUUUGUCUCUUGUUGAGUUGCUAGAAACAGUGGUGGAUGGAGCAAUGGGCUAAGAGAACAGCUGAGCACAGGAUGCGAAAAGGGAAAAAAAUGCCAAGGCUGACAUCCUGCACAUCCCUGGGGUGAUUAAAGGAAUGUCUCCCUCUGCUGCCCUUCUUCAAGGCUGGCAAGUCCAUAGUCUACCAUUGCAGAGAAAUCUUUUAAUGCACUACUAAAGUGCAGCUCCAAACAGAGCAGAGCUGUCCUGUAACAGCAUCCAUCAAUACUAUAAAAGACGGGAGCUGAAAUGAAUAUUAUUUCUAACUGAAAUCAUUACAAUUCUAAACAAAGAAAUCUUCGAAAGUACAAAAAGAGCAGAACAGAUAGAGCAAAAGAGAAAAUUCUAAUUAUAUCCAUAAAAACCCUGCUAUUAAAGAAUGAGUACAGCUAGAGUUCAUCUUCUGUCCUUGAAUUAUAAAGACAGGCAUGGCUAAUCCAUGAAACUAAAGCCUCCUUUACCUUGCAGUUAUAUAAAAUAUUUUUUCAUUUUUCAAGGUAUCCUUUUUAUUUUGGGGGGGAAUAUACUUAAAAAUAAAUACAGUCCAGUCCUGUUCAAGGUCUAACAUUUCAUAAUGUACCCAAAAGGGUACAGGGCAGAGCAGGAAGAAUGCAGUCUGAAACGGGCACGGAAAGCAAGUAGAGAAGAGCAAUAUGCCACUUCAAUGCUUCAAAUAAUACCUGCUCUUUCCAUGUGUUUUCUUACAUUAAUGAAGGAAGGAUAACACACUGCUGUUUAUAAGCAGUAAAAGGUUGGCAUUUCAUGAAUAAUGAGACACUCCCAGGAGGCAGGAAAUUCUGUCCUUACAUAUUUGAGUCUUUUAAGCCCAUUCUGCCAUCCUCCUUUCAAACACCUUGCUCUGGUCUCAGGCCUCAUUUGGGAGCGCACAUCUUUGAUCAAGGGUCCAUCCUGCAUUCAGAGCUCCUGCUGGCAAACAGCUUCAAAGUGGCUUUGCUCCUCCAAGGGAAUAGAGGCAGGAUGUUCAUCUCCCAUAUCUGAACAUCUGAAUCAUUGACUUUGGUCUUAGUGUUGUCGUGAUUUCAGUAGAUUUACUUACAUGCCUAAAUUCACUUGACUUACACAUACCAUGUAUGUGUAUUUAAGUAUCUGAACAACACACACAGAAUGAUCCACGCACUUCCAAUUCUAACAAACCUACUUCUAUGGAAACAGAGCAACUGACACACAGAUGAGAGACGACGUACGAAUGUACAUCUGCGACCUGCUGUACUUUUGUAUGUGAAUGCUUCCCAGUGCUUAACGUAUUUUUAAUGAAUUUGAGUGUCGGCAAAUAGGACAGAAACUUUCAAAAUCCAUCAGCCAGCACUUCUUUCCAUGUUCAUCUCAGACGAACUAUUCCUGAAUGUGGUAUUUGGUGAUAUGAAAAAUAAGAUCAAUCUGGUCUGUUGUCUCCCCUUACAUCUGAACAUAGAAGCUAUUUGCUGAUAACCAGAUUAUGCCAUGGCAGAGGAACAGAGAACUUACCUGCUUAAUUUUAGUGAUAGGUUUUCUGAAGCUAAUUUUAUUCAAAUAAAUGUUGUGUUGUGGGUGCAUGACCACAUACAUCAGCAAUGCCAGGAUCUAAGUGGAGGUUACUAUGUUCCAAGUGAAAAACCAUCAUCAUCCACUAAAAAAUGUGAUGAGAUAAUGAGUGGCUCUGAAGUGGAUAAUUUGACUUUAUUCAGAGACGGCUCAGCACCAGAUAAUACCUGACCCAGAUCUCUUUCUAAUUCAUCUAAAACCUACUAUUGGUCUGAUUUCAUGUACUGCUUCUUGAGGUGACCCCUAAUGGGCCAGGGACAGAUGAAAUGAAAUGAAAGACAGCAUUGACACUUAUUAAUUUCAAAGUCCUGAUAUAAACCCUCAUUCUUUCCCUCAUGAGACUUGAGUGAGCAUUUUUCAUGAGGAGAGGCUGAUUUGCAAAGAAAAACGUGUGUGUAACUGGGAAAUAAAUGUCUUAAAAACAUUCCAGCAUAUGGUGUAUCUUAAAUAGAAAGAAAAAGGAACUCCAGUGCCCAUUGUACACAGAUGAAAUGUAUAAACCAAUGACACUAAUUUAAUCCAAAAAUCAAUACUGGGAAAUGUUACCAAAGAGCCACUUGUUGCAUUUCCAUUUGUUUGUAGACACGUUUCUGGAAUAAUGAUGGCAAAUUGUUAUCAGAUGCUGGCUGGUGGCUGCAGAGGCAUUGAAAGCCAUGGCUGAGUUUGUUGGUCUGCAUUCCUCUGUCAGUAAAAGGAAUGUUUGUCCACCAGAAAUUGCCACCAGGAUAAUCCUAAUAAUUGAAUACUGUAGACUUUCUGGGUGAGAUCUGCAAAACUGUGCAUCAUGGAGGUAACUCUGCUGCCAGUAAAAUCAGUGGGAGAUUCACCAAACAUAUGAAGGCAGAAAAAUCACGCCAACCCUGAGGGCUAAGCAGAAACCCUAAUUUAUUUGUUAUUUAAAUGAAACUUUAGCAACAUGGGAAAUGCAUAGGAUCUUUCCAGCAUUUCUGACAGUAUUGAUCUUUCAGUGAGGCAGAAAGACUCUGCUCUCCAUUUCAUGACUGCUUUAGUUUAGCAAUUCAAAGCAGCUCAUGCCGUACUGAUGGGAUCAAUGGGCCGCUGGUCUCCAUGGUUGCUCUGGGAAGGUGGAUGCUGCUGCUUCAUCUUGCAUGGCACGUAGCCACAGAACACAUACUGGCUCCUGCACUCAUCUCCAGAAAUAUCCCCCACGCAUCUCGAUGGCAAGAGGCAGGACGGACCAAUGAUGGCUUUGGAUGUUUUGCAUAGCUCUGAAACUCAGUUUGAGACUCGCAACGAAAAGAAUCCCAUGUCUGCCACCCAAAAUAAUUGGUUGUAGGGUGGUUUUAGUUUAAUAGUGGUUUAGUGAAAUUUUCUAAAACCGAACCUAGAUCAUCUUUAGUAUAAUUUUCUUUUUUUCAUCUUUGCUCUUUCUAAUGUUCUAUUAAAGUAAAAUUAGUACAAUUAUCUCUUUUUUUUAUCUCUUUUUUUUAUCUCUUUUUUUUUUUUGCUCGUUCCCAGACACUGAAAUCCCUUAAGCUUAUAUUAGCAGUCCUGUAUGGCUCUCCUUGCAUCUAGUUAAAAUUUGAGCUAGGAAAACACUUUGUUAUGGAUAACAGUAUUUACUUAUGACUAGCACAUUAUUAUAAAUCAAAAACUUGUUCAAGAUUUAUGUAUACUUUAUUCGUACAAAAAAUAAGCUGAGGAAAUAAAAAGGCUUUGAGUGUUACUCAAACAGCACAUAAAUCUCAGUAAUAAAUGGAACUCCCCUCUGAUACUCUUUCUUUCACCAAAAUUAAAGUUUUAAAUGCUGUAUGAAAGUCAAAAUCAAUGCAGUGAGGCAUUUAAGCACAGCCUUAUCUUUAAGCAAGAAAGCAAUUCAUCAGCAUCAGCUGCUAUUCAGUGACUUCAGUAAGAACGGGCAGGCAAACUUCCCUAUGCUGGCAGCUCUGCAGCUCCAGAAAGGAGAGUGCAAAUAGCCUUGACCAGAAGAAGCGCUUCAAAUUCAUUUCAAAGGAAGACUGCAAUCACAUCUGCCAGGUUGAGAGGGCUUUUUGAUGGGCAAUUGUUUCUCUCUGACAUAUGCUUGUCAUCCAGUGGCUCUGUCAUGAAGACCUGUGUUGGGAGCUCUCUGCUUUCUGAUGCAGGAUCAUUUCUCAUGAAAGCCACACAUCACCGUAAGCACGUGAAGACCAGAGGGCAACAGGGGAGAGUUAUAUUGCUGACAAACAAUUGCAAUGCAUUGUUUAACAUUUGCAACAAAUCAGCACCAGCAUUUAGAAGGGCUGCCUAGAGGCCUGGAGCUGUCAAGUCAGAUAAUGGCCCAAAAUGCUGCCGGCUAAUAACACCGGGCUUCACUGCACCGUAUUCAGGCGUAAACUCAAGAGGCCUUUUUUUUUCUAUUUUAUUUUCCUGUUUCCCCCCCUCUGUGCAGAUGUCACAGCUCAGCCAGUGUGAGUCACAGCUGUCAUAGGGGACACCAGAAAAAACAGCACCACCAACAACUGACCUGGCCACCUUGGCAAGUGGCUGCCCAUGCCAUGAGUGACUGUUACACUGCAAAUGCAAGGCAGGGCACUCAGGCACCACAGGGACAAACACAACCCCAGACAUCAAGAUGGAGUAUGUGCCUAUGUGCUCUGUACUGGGAUCAAGGAGGUGGUGGAGAAAAUAUUCAAAGAAUCACAGAAUCACUGAAUCAUUAAGGUUGGAAAAUACCACUAAGAUCAUCAGCUCCAGCCCCAACCCAUCCGCACCAUGCCCACUGACCACGUCCCUCAGUGCCACAUCUCCAUGGUUCUUGAACACCUCCAGGGACAGUGACUGCACCACCUCCAUGGGCAGUCUGUGCCAAUGCCUGAGCACUUUUUUUUCUGAGAAGAAAUCUUUUCAAAUAUCCAACCAGAAAUUGGGUGAGAGCACCCAAUUUUACCUUACUUACAGCUCUGUUUCUAUUGCUGAGUGCAAAAAUGGCAUAAGGUUCAAUGACAUGAAGCACGGAACAUCCCAACCUCCAUUAACACAGAGAGGAAACAGUCUUACACCGCUGUGAACAGCUGUCUUUUGGCAUUAACCAAGCUGCAGCAUACUUCAGGGGUGAAUUUUGCAUCUGUAUUUAUAUUUAGAGACAGCUUCAGUGCUGGCGAAGAAAGGGUGUAAAAGCCAUAAAGCACUGCUCCCAAUUAAAACAACUUUCAAAGCCUCAGCAAAAUAGAAACAUGCUCAGCACUGCAAAUUUAGAGGGAAAAAAAAAUUGCUUAUUUUUUAAAAUGACUAUUUUUAGCUCCACUCACCUUGAUCCAAACACAGCCAGUGAGCGUGAGGAUUUUAUUAUACCUUAACCAUGUCUGAAAGCAUGGAAAAUUACAAUUCAGAUGCUACUUACAUCCUGUAGUUAAAAAAUCAGAGAGAAGUGAGGGAGGUAGUGGAGAGAACCCAACCGCACUGGCAUAAAGGAGAUAAAUCAACUCAAGGACCUGUGUUCAAACUGCUGUGAAGUAUAAUGGGUUUCAUCUCUAUCUGAAUGCUCAGACUAUAAAGGUACGGCAAGGAGGUAAUAGCAGCGCUGAGCGUAAAGCAUCACAUUACCUGUAACUGCAACAUGGCAGCGUUGUGGGAAACAACUGGCUUGGGGGAAGUAAAGUUCUAGGAGGGAAUAUUCAAAGCUGGGAUAAAAGAAUGCUGUUAUGGCGACAUGACCUAGUUUAUCCUACAGCUCUUCAUCUAGAUAAAAUUUUUCACCUAGCC